UCAUGAUGAAUCCAUAAGCCACUGGUUUUGUUCGGCGGGUGAGAGCAGAAGCUCUCGGCCUCCACCCUCCACGAACCUUCCGAGAUCCUGUUCUUCUUUUGAGCAGUCGCUUUCUUCACUUCACCUCUAUUUGCGCGCUCUGUGUCUGUGUGUGUGGAUUUUCUAGCUAUGUGUUGGCUAGGUUAGGAUAUCAUGGGACAUGGGCAAUCUUCACUUGUUUACGAGAAAACAGUGUGAUCUGUGCAUCGGUUUUGCAUACAUGUGAAGAUCAGUUCAUUUCCGUUUACUCUUGUUGCUUUCUUCUCAAUGGUUGAUGGUGAAGGGAGCCCUCUUCAGUCCACUCAUGGGUGGCUGCAGGAUUCAAUUAGCUGCCGACUCAUUCAUCCACAUGCUGUGUUAAAAGGAGAUACCCAGUAAAUGAGUGAAUGAACCGGGAGAUAAAUUGGAUCUAAAGCUUCCUGUACUUGGACUGAAGGGAGCUCCCUUUCUUGUUAUGUUACUUAAAUCUCUUCUCUUGAUCUAAACUCUUUCUUUGUUAGUGCUCAUUUUAUUUCUUAAUAAUUAAGUCCAUGUUUGAAUAAAGUGGUUUGCUUGAAUUGCUAAAGAUAAAUAUCGUUCACCGAUUACUUUUCCUCUUUCCAGACGCCAAGCACGCUUCUGGUGAUGCAGAGAAAUCUUUACCUUGGAAAGUCGGUAAGAGUAGGCAUGUAGAGAAAGCCUUCUCGCUUUUGUGCAUCAACAGAUGCCUUGUCUUUUCCAUGUCUGUUCGUUUCCUUUAAAAAUUGGCUCAACUAGGGUUAAGGUAUGCAAGCUUUAAUUAAUAUAUAUUAAAAACAUCCUCGAAACUCGUUCAAUGAUGGAUGAACUAACCUGCUUUUCACUCGUGUUGACAGUAAAGAUUUAGGGUUUUGUCAAGCGUACAUUCAAGCCUGUGUCACCCAAGAGGCGCCUGAGCAUGAGAUUAGAUGCUCGCAAUAUACGACAAUAGCGUCUUGGGUCUUGCUCUAUUACUGCAACAAGUUCCCAGACAUGUCUCCCGGAGGAUGCAAUUACCGGAAUGUCCUCAUGUGGUUUCAUGUUAGCAGGGAGUGUACUGCUCUCUUUCUUAUUUUUUUUGUCCAUGUUUUCGGUUUGAUUGUACCGAUAAGUAGGUGGCCUGAAUGGAGGAUUCUGACGUCGACUUCUCUCCUGAGCUUUACGAUUCAUGAAUGUAAGGUUUCUUUGGUACUGUGGCAUGAAUUGUGGGCCUCAGUUUUUCCAUUUGUAUGAAAGACGGGUGAAGGAUCAUUUUCUUGGGCGGACCAUACAAGACGGGUGGUAAGAUGGAAUUUUCUUUACUUAUGAGUUUAGGAAAGGGGUAAACUCUUGAGUUUAUGAAGAGGGCCUUAUACAUUUUUGUAUAUAUGACUGGGAUCCUGUUCAGAUGCAAGAACUUGAGAAAACGUAGGUGGGAAUGACUACUCUCUCUCUCUCUCGUGCGAGCUAGCCAAAGGGCAAAGAGGUUUUGACCUUCUUUCUUUCAUGGAGUGAGCCGAAAAACAAGCACCAACCAACCCCAUUGUAGGGCAAAGCUUGUGUAGUACUUUUUAGUUUAUUCGAGCUUCACUCGUAAUAAUUUUCUUCCCUUCUUUUUAUUUUUUCCUUCAUGUAUCUUUGAGCCUUUGAUCUAGGCAAGGGACUAAGUUAUGAUUCAAAUUUAUGUGCUCGAGCUACACAGAAAUUAUUUGGCAGACGAUUUUGUUA